AGGGCUGCGGCUUAAUGGCAGAGCCUUUGCCUUGUGAGCGGAAGGUCCCGGGUUCAAUCCUCGAUGGCCUCU